CACAGCUCAUUGUGCAUGUAAGCGUAUUCAAAAGUGUGACAUAAAGGAAAUGCACUUAUCUUGAUGGAAAAUAUAAGAGUCCAGAUUUGCCAAGGCCUUCAGUUAUUUUACAAGGUCCGAAACAGAGGGAGGAGGUGCCAGUCAAAACCUUUGAUUUCUUCUGUCUCUCUCAUCUUCCCUCUUUUUUAGAGGUUUCUUGGGAAAUGAGAGGAACACAUAUACAUCAGAUGUGCUGCUUACAUCUGGGAAGAGAGGACAUAUGUGUCAGGUGGACAGAUACACCAAGGAAAUGUAAUUCUAUUGGAAUACAAAGUGUUUGAGACAAAAGGCAGUUCCAGUUCUUCUUAACUCUGUUGGAUACAUUAUCUCAGUGAUCAUAUGGAUAAAAUUUUCAGAUUGGAAGCUGUCACAAGACAAUGAGAAUGACUGAAAAUGGAGCACAUUUUUUGUAUCUCCAGCCUGCAGAUGAGGAUCCAAUUUCCCAAUUACCUCUUUUGUCUUUCUUCAUCCCAACUGCUGCUCCAAUAAUAAACCAAAAUCUUUUUCUAUCAGA